rnacentral:rRNA from 1 species
GUUAAAAUAUAAGAGGUCCAGCCUGCCCAGUGACAAAGUUCAACGGCCGCGGUACCCUAACCGUGCGAAGGUAGCAUAAUCACUUGUUCUUUAAAUGGGGACUCGUAUCAACGGCACCACGAGGGUUAAACUGUCUCCUUUCUCCAAUCAAUGAAACUGAUCUUCCCGUGAAGAAGCGGGAAUUUAAAUAUAAGACGAGAAGACCCCAUGGAGCUUUAAACCCAGCUACAUUUCUAUUUUCUAUUCCACCAUAAUUGCUAGAACCCUGUACAUCUGGUUUUAGGUUGGGGUGACCGCGGAGAACAAAUUAACCUCCACGAUGAACGGGGAUAUUCCCUUAUCUAAGAACCACACCUCUAAGAACUAGUAUUCUAACAGAAAAUGAUCCAUUAUUUGAUCAACGAACCAAGUUACCCUGGGGAUAACAGCGCAAUCCAUUUCAAGAGCCCCUAUCGACAAAUGGGUUUACGACCUCGAUGUUGGAUCAGGGUGUCCCAGUGGUGCAGCAGCUACUAAAGGUUCGUUUGUUCAACGAUUAAAACCCUACGUGAUCUGAG